UUCACGGCAGAUCCGUGGUUCUCCGCAGUGAAAUCUUGGCGACCAAGCAGGUCCUGAGGAUGCGUUAGGGCGAGGCGCCCCCUGUAGGUAGAAACAGGCUUGUGGCGCUUACCCAGAGACUGAACCCCCACCAGGUGAAAGAAGUUCACUACGUGAUGAGCAGACUGUAGUCGUGACCUAAGCUGCUGCGAUCCCGAGAAGUGGCCUCAAGGAAAUGGGAACGAACCGACCCUCGACCUGAAGACAGACUGUACUUAAAAUAAUGAGAUGAUGCUGGUCAGACCACUGCAAUGACCAAUGUCAAGGUGACGGCUGGAGCUGACUGUGCAGCCUCUGAAUACAGCCCCUCUUCCACCUUUAAAAGCUCUUGCCCGCUGAUUGUCAGGGGACCCUGGUCCUUUCGACAGAAGUACCCUCCCCCCUCAAACCCCACUUGCAUCCAAAA